rnacentral:lncRNA from 1 species
UGAUUGGAAUUUGGAUAUAUGCUGAACUGUGGUUGUGAUAUAUAUUGAUGUGCAUUGUUAUUUUAUUUGUUAGGUAGGAUGGACGGGUCUAGUAGCCAAUCUAGUACACAUAUGGUCUCGGUAUUAGGAAAACAAAAACAAACCCAACCUAGUGGUACCCUUCAACUAGGCACUCCCUCACCUCAAGAUUAUUUGCAUAAUGAUUAUUAUGUAGAUUCUUG